rnacentral:misc_RNA from 1 species
GAUGAAGAACGCAGCGAAAUGCGAUAAGUAAUGUGAAUUGCAGAAUUCAGUGAAUCAUCGAAUCUUUGAACGCACAUUGCGCCCGCCAGUAUUCUGGCGGGCAUGCCUGUUCGAGCGUCAUUUCAACCAUCAAGCCCCCGGCUUGUGUUGGGGACCUGCGGCUGCCGCAGGCCCUGAAAACCAGUGGCGGGCUCGCUAGUCACUCCGAGCGUAGUAGUUACAUCUCGCUCAGGGCGUGCUGCGGGUUCCGGCCGUUAAAAGCCUUAUUUACCCAAGGUUGACCUCGGAUCAGGUAGGAAGACCCGCUGAACUUAGGCAUAUCAAUAAGCGGAGGA